GACGAACGCUGGCGGCGUGCUUAACACAUGCAAGUCGAACGGAAAGGCCCUGCUUUUGUGGGGUGCUCGAGUGGCGAACGGGUGAGUAACACGUGAGUAACCUGCCCUUGACUUUGGGAUAACUUCAGGAAACUGGGGCUAAUACCGGAUAGGAGCUCCUGCUGCAUGGUGGGGGUUGGAAAGUUUCGGCGGUUGGGGCUGGACUCGCGGCUUAUCAGCUUGUUGGGGGGGUAGUGGCUUACCAAGGCUUUGACGGGUAGCCGGCCUGAGAGGGUGACCGGCCACAUUGGGACUGAGAUACGGCCCAGACUCCUACGGGAGGCAGCAGUGGGGAAUAUUGCACAAUGGGCGGAAGCCUGAUGCAGCAACGCCGCGUGCGGGAUGACGGCCUUCGGGUUGUAAACCGCUUUCGACUGUGACGAAGCGUGAGUGACGGUAAUGGGUAAAGAAGCACCGGCUAACUACGUG
rnacentral:rRNA from 1 species